CCGCGGUAAUACGAAGGGUGCAAGCGUUACUCGGAAUUACUGGGCGUAAAGCGUGCGUAGGUGGUUUGUUAAGUCUGAUGUGAAAGCCCUGGGCUCAACCUGGGAAUUGCAUUUGGAUACUGGCAAGCUAGAGUGCGGUAGAGGAUGGCGGAAAUUCCCCGGUGUAGCAGUGAAAUGCGUAGAGAUCGGGAGGAACAUCUGUGGCGAAGAGCGGCCAUCUGGACCAGCGCUGACACUGAGGCACGAAAGCGUGGGGGAGCAAACAGGAUUAGAUACCCUGGGUAGUCCACGCCCCUAAACGAUGCGAACUGGGAUGUUGGGGAGCAACUAGGCUCUCAGUAUCGAAGCUAACGCGUUAAGUUCG
rnacentral:rRNA from 1 species